rnacentral:lncRNA from 1 species
UCCCCUCCCCCACUCUGCCUCUCUGAUUUGGGGAACUCUAUGUUGGGAUGAUCGUUUCUCCUACAGCACCUGUUGACCUCUGACCUCAGCGUUGAGCCUGGUACUAAGCCGGCCUGGAACCGGGCACUUUCCUGGCGCUGACCUGGUGCUGACCCUGCCUGGACCCUGACACAGAUCCGAAUUUGACCCUCAACUUUGACCUGGAACCGAACCUGAUGCCGAUUUUUGAGUUGAUCUGCUAUGAAUUGUGGCCUUGACCCUGCUAGUGAUCCAGCACUCACACCCACAUUCACCUGGCACUGAUCCAGCACGGUUCUGGUACUGAUUGAGCUUCUGACCCGGCUGUGUUUAGUGUAAAUCUGGCUUUGGAUUUUUUUUUUUUACGUGGACGGUAAAAUCGUUUCUGCUGCUCAGCUCAGAGUCUGACUGCUGUACUGACCAGACCACACCCCCUCACAGAAACCCCGCCCCCUGCUGCAGCCGCCCCCUGUCUCCCUGAACUGACUGUCACAACCUUCACACAACCCCGCCCCCAACGGAUGCCAACCCACCAUCCAGCCUGAAAAGGUAACCCAACACUGUACCUGUGUGUGUAUUGUUUCAUUCUGUUGUAUUGUUUCUUGAUUGGUUGGUGCU